AUAUGAAGCAUUUGGUUAAGAACUGCAAAGAGAUAAUAGAUCUAAACUUGAGUGGCUGUAAGAAUAUAACGGACUAGAGUUUGCAUCUAAUUGCUGAUAAUUAUCAAGAGUUGGAAGUGUUGAAUUUGACGAGGUGCAUCAAGCUAAUAGAUGGCAGAUUGCAACAGAUACUUCUCAAGUGUUCUUCCCUCUGAAGCUUGAACCUUUAUGCCCUUUCAAGCUUAACAGACCAGGCUUAUAGGAAGAUGGCAUUUCUACCACAUCUGAAAUUCUUAGAUCUAUGCGGUGUGCAGGUAAUCAUGCGGUUGAACGCACCCAACACCAUGAUUUCUACUACUAGGGUGGUUCUAUUCUUGAUCUAAAGAAACGGUCUUUUGUUUGUUCAACCCAGCAGUGGUACAGCUGAAGGCCACCUUGUAAUAAAAUAAUAUGAAUUACUUGGAGUAGUGCAUAUGCAGUAUUCCAUCAAGUUCUGUUGACAUAUUUGCAUUUUGUUUUUAAUUGUGAUCCAAUCUAGCUAACAUAUGCUCAUUAUGUUUUCAAACAAGUCGUAAUCAUGUAACCAGAUCUUUCUCUAAAUCUUCCCGUCACUGUCAAAGCUGGUUUUGUUGGUACAAUAACCCUGAAGGUACUUUUCUUAUCAACUAGCAUAUUCAAUAUUUCUGCAUAAUGCGUACUCAAGACUCCUAUUUUGUCAUGGAUACUUGGAGGCACAGUUGUGUCACUUGUAAACUUCCUUUUAUUUCUAGACUGAUUGGUUACGUCCACUGAUCUUAUCUAUAUCAAAUCCUUAUUUUGAGAAGUUAAUCUAUUCAAGAUCUUUAAGUGACAUGAAUAUUUCUUUAUUCGUUUGUUUGACUUAUUUUAAGAUUCUAUAGAGGCAGGUUGAAAUUUUGAUCCAAAACAGAUUGAAACAUGCUUUAAGGUCUACAUGGAGUUCAUUUGGUC